ensembl:lncRNA
AAACUGCUCUUUGUUAAUAAUUGGAUUAUUUUCUGGGAGCGACCUAGGCUAUUUCGUGCUGAUGGCCUGCACCCCAGCAGCUGUCGGACAAUAUCUCCAGAUUCGUCCAGUGUUUUUCUCCUCGGCGUGGCCCUUGGGACGACCGGUUUGAGAAGACCAGCGUCUGAAGUCACAUGCUGGAUUGAGCAAAAGCUUGUUUGGGUCAAAUCUAAAGUGUCUGAACGAAACACACCGCACCUAAAGAUCACCUGCCUGCCUUUCUCAAGUUAAAAAGUCCAAAAUGAAAGCAACAGCAGACCUGUUUAAAUGAGCCUUUCCCCCUCGUGGCCUCAAAUCAAAUAAAACACAACAGUUGGAGUCCAAACAAGUUAAAAGAACGUCC